rnacentral:rRNA from 1 species
CGGCGGACGGGUGAGUAACACGUGGAUAACCUACCUAUAAGACUGGGAUAACUUCGGGAAACCGGAGCUAAUACCGGAUAACAUGUUGAACCGCAUGGUUCAACAGUGAAAGACGGUCUUGCUGUCACUUAUAGAUGGAUCCGCGCCGCAUUAGCUAGUUGGUAAGGUAACGGCUUACCAAGGCAACGACGCGUAGCCGACCUGAGAGGGUGAUCGGCCACACUGGAACUGAGACACGGUCCAG